rnacentral:rRNA from 1 species
CCCUUAGAUGUUCUGGGCUGCACGCGCGCUACACUGAUGCAUUCAACAAGUGUUACCUUGGCCGAGAGGUCUGGGAAAUCUUCUGAAUAUGCAUCGUGAUAGGGAUAGAUUAUUGCAAUUAUUAAUCUUGAACGAGGAAUUCCUAGUAAAUGCAGAUCAUCAUUCUGCGUUGAUUACGUCCCUGCCCUUUGUACACACCGCCCGUCGCACCUACCGAUUGAAUGGUUUAGUGAGACCCUCGGAUUCGUCCCAGCACAGUGGGUUUCUGCUGAGCUGGUGCGCGGAGAAGACGGUCGAACUUGAUCAUUUAGAGGAAGUAAAAGUCGUAACA